AAAGCCAACUAGGGGUGUUCAUCGAAUCGAAUUCCGAAUUUUUCGACUUCCUCGAAUCGAAUUUAAUCGAAUGAACAUUUUAAACUUCAAUUCGAAAUUCGAUCCUAAUUCGAUUAAUUCGAAUCGAAUUUAAACGGAUUGAAUUUCUCGAUUUCCGAAU
rnacentral:pre_miRNA from 1 species